rnacentral:tRNA from 1 species
CGGGGUGUGGCGCAGUCCGGUAGCGCGCAUGGUUUGGGACCAUGAGGCCGGGAGUCCGAAUCUCCCCACCCCGACCA